rnacentral:rRNA from 1 species
CCUAGGAAUCUGCCUGGUAGUGGGGGACAACGUUUCGAAAGGAACGCUAAUACCGCAUACGUCCUACGGGAGAAAGCAGGGGACCUUCGGGCCUUGCGCUAUCAGAUGAGCCUAGGUCGGAUUAGCUAGUUGGUGAGGUAAUGGCUCACCAAGGCGACGAUCCGUAACUGGUCUGAGAGGAUGAUCAGUCACACUGGAACUGAGACACGGUCCAGACUCCUACGGGAGG